rnacentral:misc_RNA from 1 species
GAUGAAGAACGCAGCGAAAUGCGUUAAGUAAUGUGAAUUGCAGAAUUCAGUGAAUCAUCGAAUCUUUGAACGCACAUUGCGCCCCUUGGUAUUCCGGGGGGCAUGCCUGUUCGAGCGUCAUUACAACCCUCAAGCUCAGCUUGGUGUUGGGCCCCGCCGCCCCGGCGGGCCCUAAAGUCAGUGGCGGUGCCGUCCGGCUCCGAGCGUAGUAAUUCUUCUCGCUCUGGAGGUCCGGUCGUGUGCUUGCCAGCAACCCCCAAUUUUUUUCAGGUUGACCUCGGAUCAGGUAGGGAUACCCGCUGAACUUAAGCAUAUCAAUAAGCGGAGGA